rnacentral:tRNA from 1 species
GGAGGCUUCGCAUAGUGGACGAGUGCGACGGUCUUGAAAACCGUUGAGUCGGCAGCCCCGGCUCCGUGGGUUCGAAUCCCACAGCCUCCGCCA